AGGGUUUGAUUAUGGCUCAGGACGAACGCUGGCGGCGUGCCUAACACAUGCAAGUCGAACGGAGUGUUGCGCUGAAUAUGAGAUUAGCUUGCUAAAGGAAUAUUCUUGUAACACUUAGUGGCGGACUGGUGAGUAACGCGUGAGCAACCUGCCUUACAGAGGGGGACAACAUUGGGAAACCGAUGCUAAUACCGCAUGACAUAUUCGAAAGGCAUCUUUUGAAUAUCAAAGGAGCAAUCCGCUGUAAGAUGGGCUCGCGUCCGAUUAGUUAGAUGGUGGGGUAACGGCCUACCAUGACGACGAUCGGUAGCCGGACUGAGAGGUUGAACGGCCACAUUGGGACUGAGAUACGGCCCAG
rnacentral:rRNA from 1 species